UAAUGCUUAACCCUUGGACUCCUACAGUAAGAGCAGCUUCCAGAGAGAGACCUUUCCUUAAAAUAAUUAACUACAAGCUUAAUUCUGUGUUUGUUUGAUACUGUCCAAACAGCAAAGCACGCCAAGCAAUAUUUCUAGCUGCAGUACGCAAAAUAACAGCUACUGGAUGAAAGCUUAAUGGCUUUUUCAAUAAACGGAUUGAGUUCAAUGAAAAGCAAUUGUUUGGUCCACAUGAAUGAUCACUUAAGCGUUGUGGUUAAUAUGCUGAAGAGAAGCAAUGGUUUUUCGAAAUAACAAAAUCUCAGGGACAAGCCGCUGGCGAGUGUGAGAGCCUUCAAAGUGAACACAAAGUCUCAAUGCAAGUUAAGGAGUCAGGAGAACAAAACGUGCCGAUUAGGCCGUUUGUUAUUUGCUCCUCGGCCAUUCGUUGAUUCGUGUCAACUCGAAAUCCUGGCAUACUAUCGGGAUCUUACGAAGGGAAUAAGCAACAAUAAUAUGUCUGCAACGAUCUGUUUGGGUUACUUCUUCUCCGAGAUCGCCUGCAUAACACACGCGAUUCGAAGAAUAAGCUAACGCUACUUAAUGGCAAGGGGAUGUAGACUUCAACGAGCCACAAAAGGCGAGUUGGUCUCAUUGCUGGCUGUCAUUUGCCCUCAGCCACAUAUUGGUGAAGAUAUUAGGGUUUCUUUUGUCUCGGAAUGACUGAUAGUUCCCCCUCAUCCUCUUCACCUCGCCCCCUCUCUCUCUCUCAAAAAAACAAAAACAAAAACAAAAAACAAGAGUGCGAAAAAAUCUGCUAGCAACCUUGCUACUUUGUCACAGACAAACAGGUCUGUGGCAUGUUUUGUCGCUUACAAAUCAAUUCUCUUUCAUUAUUUAAAAAAAAAAAACACGCUUACCCAGCACCGAGAUAAAGUGAAGCUUAACAGUCACUGGAGUACCUGUGAAAAAAGCCUGCUUGCUCAUUUUGAAUUCAUCCAGAGAUACUUUGAAAUGUAUUUUCCACCUCCUAGCCGCCGGGAUGAUGGCUCCUCAUUCAAAGCUCAACCAAACAUGUAUUGCUUCACGCAAAACAAACGUAAGAAGACUUCACAAUGCCCCGCCCCCCAACUGGUUCUAUUGGUCACAUCCGGGGAUUUAGCCCCAAAGCCCUCGACUGUUUAGCCCGUAACCUGUUGCAAGACGCGUGCUCUAUUGGUCUGAGGCAGUGUCCGUCACAGGGUGUUAUGCAUGGAGGUAUGUCGGUGUUACCUUGAUUAUCUUUAUAAAAUUGCAUAAUACACUUGUACACUAACUGUAUCUCUGUAUCUAC
ensembl:lncRNA